GAGCGAGCGAGAGAGAGAGAGAGAAAGAGAGGAGCAGGAUGUACAAGCUGCUGUGGUUCUGGGCGAGCGUGGCUCUUCUGAUGUCCUGCUGUGGGUUUCAACUGGACUACACCACACAGGACCCAGGAGAAUACUACUACUAUUCAAACUUCACAGACUACUACUUCUUUGACAAUGAUACGGACACAUACUGGGGAAGUGGCUCAGUCGACCAGAAGGUUGUCGGUAUGGGUCAGGUGACCCUGGUUCUGCUGCUUGGAUUGGCUGUCCCACAUGUCCUUCAUUGAGUGGGCGGGCUUUAAGCCUCCAGAUCUUCGACCCAGACAGAGGGGGACGAGUUUGAAGCGUCCAAUCAGAAGGAGAGACCAUGGUACCUGUCUGAGCGCCGUCGACUCCAGCACCGCCCAGCACGAUUACUAUUCCCCACAGUUGGACAUCGUUUCCAUCAUGGCUGAGAAACAUGCAUUCAAAUGAUAUUUUGCAGUAUAUUUUUAUAAAUAAAGGUUUGUUCAAAUCCCUGGUUCAACCCCAAGUUCCCCGGUGAUCAGAGAUGCACAUCGGUGAACAGUCGUUGUCGUACAUUGCAUGACGGGUAUGAGGAUGUGGAGCACUAUUCAGGGACCCUGAUUGGUCGACUGUUUAGGACGCGUCACUGUCAUAUCUCACAGGGUACAGCGGACCUGUUUGAACCCAUCUGGAUCUCAUCUCUGAAUGCGCCACACUUAGCAGCAUCACUACAUUUAGCCUACCUCCAUGGUAUGGACAUACUCCAACCUUGGUGUGGG